UGGUGAAGAUGAAGAAGAACCGAGAGGAAAUGAUCUUAUUCUCUCUUAUUUUUAAUGAACAAAUUAUUGUGUCUCGUUGAGUGUAAAAUAUAACAUUCUAUCGAUCACGUUGUAGUUUGUUGUCAUUGAAAUAAAAUAUUUGAUAAUAGUAAGUGACGAUAAAAAUUAAAAAUCAAACUCAAUGAUUUGAGGAAGCCACAAGAAAUUACAACGCUACAAUCCUUAUUUUCGAAAGAACGACAAAAGUUAUUUCGAAAAUUACAAAUUGCCGGCUUGGCACCAAUGUGACUAACAAAACCUUCGGUUCGCUUAGAUGUACAUCAUCAGUACAUGGAGGAAAAAUCGAGGACGGUGAUUGGUUGACCGGGCACAAUCAUA
rnacentral:lncRNA from 1 species